CCACAGGCGUCCCGGAGGGCAACUUCCGGGAGUAUCACCGGGUGAAUUGCUGGGAAACCCUGAGAGCCCUUCAUACCACAACGCAGCCGGAAACGGCAGACGUGAAGGUUUGAAAAAUGGAGGGAUUGGGCAACCAGCAGCCGAGCCCCUGUGCCGAAAGGCUGGGGAAGGUCCAACGACUAGGGCAUACCACCUGAGGCCGUCACAACGGUACGGUGAUGAAGCCCGUAGGGCGCCUGGAGGCGCCCGAAGCACCCGGCUCCCGCUGCAAGGCAGCGGGAUGAAGAUAUAGUCUAGGCGCCGGCGAAAGCCGGCG
rnacentral:ncRNA from 1 species